rnacentral:rRNA from 1 species
AGUGAACGCUGGCGGUAGGCCUAACACAUGCAAGUCGAACGGCAGCACAGUAAGAGCUUGCUCUUACGGGUGGCGAGUGGCGGACGGGUGAGGAAUACAUCGGAAUCUACUUUUUCGUGGGGGAUAACGUAGGGAAACUUACGCUAACACCGCAUACGACCUACGGGUGAAAGCAGGGGAUCUUCGGACCUUGCGCGAUUGAAUGAGCCGAUGUCGGAUUAGCUAGUUGGCGGGGUAAAGGCCCACCAAGGCGACGAUCCGUAGCUGGUCUGAGAGGAUGAUCAGCCACACUGGAACUGAGACAAGGUCCAGACUCCUACGGGAGGCAGCAGUGGGGAAUAUUGGACAAUGGGCGCAAGCCUGAUCCAGCCAUACCGCGUGGGUGAAGAAGGCCUUCGGGUUGUAAAGCCCUUUUGUCGGGAAAGAAAAGCAGCAGGUUAAUACCCCGCUGUUCUGACGGUACCCAAAGAAUAAGCACCGGCUAACUUCGUG